ACGUAGGGGGCAAGCGUUACUCGGAUUUAUUGGGCGUAAAGAGAAUUCAGGCGGUCAUGUAAGUCAGUGGUGAAAUCCCCCGGCUCAACUGGGGAAUUGCCUUUGAUACUGGGUGGCUUGAGGACAGGAGAGGAAGGCGGAAUUCCCGGUGUAGGGGUGAAAUGCGUGGAUAUCUGGAGGAACACCUGAGGCGAAGGCGGCUUACUGGACCGGUUCUGACAGUGAUAUACGAAAGCUGGGGGAGCAAACAG
rnacentral:rRNA from 1 species